UCGGAGCUGCGGGAUGCGUUAGGUUCUACUUCAAUCCCGGGGCCGAUGCGAUCCACUAGGGAGCUGAUCCUGACCGGGACCGUGGUUCCGGACACUCGGCGCCCACCUACUUUGUAGGGCCCAGCCGGAUCGAAUAACCGACGGUCAUCGCGGCUCCGCC
rnacentral:other from 1 species